GGCAGCGGCGAUCGCACGUUGAAUACACCAAUAGUUCACUGAAGUUAAGCAACGUUUCACGUGGUUGGUAUCCGGAUAGCUGACCAGCAAUCGCGUGCUGCUGGGU
rnacentral:rRNA from 1 species